rnacentral:rRNA from 1 species
GGUAGGUGAACCUGCGGAAGGAUCAUU